AUUGAACGCUGGCGGCAGGCCUAACACAUGCAAGUCGAGCGAGCGGCGGACGGGUGAGUAAUGUCUGGGGAACUGCCUGAUAGAGGGGGAUAACUACUGGAAACGGUGGCUAAUACCGCAUACCAUCGGAUGUACCCAUAUGGGAUUAGCUAGUAGGUGGGGUAACGGCUCACCAAGGCGACGAUCCCUAGCUGGUCUGAGAGGAUGACCAGCCAGACUGGAACUGAGACACGGCCCAGACUCCUACGGGAGGCAGCAGUGGGGAAUAUUGCACAAUGGGCGCAAGCCUGAUGCAGCAAUGCCGCGUGUAUGAAGAAGGCCUUCGGGUUGUAAAGUACUUUCAGCGGGGAGGCGUUACCCGCAGGAGAAGCACCGGCUAACUCCGUGCCAGCAGCCGCGGUAAUAC
rnacentral:rRNA from 1 species